ensembl:lncRNA
GAUAAAAAUUGCGGAACUAAUAAGCCUCCACCAACUGGAAGAGUUUGGGAAAGGUUUAAAGGAGACACCGCCUGUACAUUGUGAGCCACGCGGCAGAGCAGUUCUCCUGGGUUUCCUUACCCUGCUGCUCUCCACCUGGGUGCCCUUUCCCAAUAAAGUCUCUUCCUUUGUCAGCACAUAUGUCUCCUCGGACAAUUCAUUUCCGAGUGUUAGGCAAGAGCCCAGUUUCAGGCCCUGGAAGGGGUCCCUCUUCCUGCAACAAAUGGUGGCUCCGGUGGGAUUCUUCUUCACCAAGACUGACAUCCUGACUACUCGAGGUACUCAGGGGCCAGCUUGCCUGCCAAUGGACCAGACCCAAUGGCUGCAACCAGGACCCUUUUGUCCCUGGUCUCCUCCUGACACGGACAACUGGCCAGAGUGCCCUGACUGCUUAUCUCAGUAAUCUAUCUUUGAAUGAAGAUCAGAUGCCUCAUGACCUGCAACCAGGACUGGAAAAAGACAUAAUUUAAGGGACUGUCUCCAACAUGAAUGGAAGGACUUUUUUAUCAGGAGAAACUACACUACACCAGGAUGAGAAGAUGACGACAUCAGAGGUAGACAGCUUCCCCGAGAUGCUGGACCUGAUUUAUAUGAUCAUUUAUAUUUUCUUGACUUCUUAGACCUUUGCAUAUAAGUCAAAUGCUUUUCUAUCAUAGGCCUGAUCCUAUGCUAGUUUUAAAAAUCAAUCCAAUUGUUGGGUUUUUG